ensembl:snRNA U6 U6 spliceosomal RNA
CUCAGCAGCGCUUACAUCUCCUACAAUUUGAACAAUUCAGAGUAUAUUAGUAUGACCCUUGCACAAAGAUGACCCACAAAUUUGUGAGGCAUUCCAUAUUUUU